rnacentral:rRNA from 1 species
UACGGGGGGAGCAAGCGUUGUUCGGAUUUACUGGGCGUAAAGGGCGCGUAGGCGGCCACCGCAAGUCGACUGUGAAAUCUCCGGGCUUAACCCGGAAAGGUCAGCCGAUACUGCGGGGCUAGAGUGCAGAAGGGGCAACUGGAAUUCUCGGUGUAGCGGUGAAAUGCGUAGAUAGCAGGAGGAACACCGAUGGCGAAGGCAGGUCUCUGGGCCACUACUGACGCUGAGAAGCGAAAGCAUGGGGAUCAAACAGG